rnacentral:lncRNA from 1 species
GAUGGACCAGAAUCAAAUUAGAUAAGAUCGAUGGUUGAUAUAUGUAAGCAUUUUAGUUAUUCUAAUUACACCCAUUAUUUAACGAGUUAUAUGUAUUUCACGUAACGCUUAUAGGUCUAAUAUUCGAUUUGGAAGACUGAUGAGACGCAAGCUUCAGAUCAAGAUCGAGUUCACCGGUGUUACCGGACACGGAUAUUUCAGGAUCUGGAUGUCCGAGACAAGGAUCAGUCAAUCCUUGUUUCCAAACAGCCUCUGUGGGCGACCCAGUGUGAUCAUCAUCAUUACAUGGAAUGGAACUAUUUUCCUCAACGUUGCCGGCCGAAACCUGUUGAAUAUAUAGAUUGAUGAUUCAAGAUUUUAAGUUUUUAUGACAAAUCAAGAAAAGAUAUUUUCAUAUACCAUUCUUAUUAUAUAAAGCUUAGACUAUAGUAAAAUAUCCACAUUUUUGCUUAUAAAGAUUUUGACAUCUGGAGUGGUAAAAAUGUUGUCAGAAAGUGGUAAGAAUAUUUGGAAAUUAUAUUAUUAAAAACAUACAAAUUAUGCCUGAUCCUUUUGAAGAUGUGACAUUUUUCCGUUAUGGACUUUCCUUAAAACCAUUGAAGUUUUUACUUUACCUACGAAGAGUUUAAUUUCCUUUUGUUAUAUAGAAAUUAGAAAAUAAGAUUGGAACGUUGACCAAAAAAAGAAAAUAAGAUUGGAACUUGCCAUAUCGAAGAGGCUAGUGCGGCGUCUCUUGUGAUGGAGAGUGGUGGCUUGACGAAUGAAGUAUUUUUGAGCAUGACUUGCCACUUGUGUCGGAGAUUUUGUGACGACGAAGUUUCUAGAGAUUCCUCUCCAAUCUCCUUUACCAAGCUUCUCUAAUCCAAUUAGAAACAUCUGGUGCUCUUUUUCCGUCCAUGGAACCCCUACUCAUAAAGACAAAUUAAAAUGAUCUCAUUAAUUAAAAAAAGCCUUAACAAAAGCUAACGAUUAUAAAUACAAUAUUUUUUGUCCGCAAUGAAGCGGUUGCAUCGCAUGCUAUUCUAGUUUGAUUAAUUAACUUCAGAACAGUUGAUUAUAACACGGUUAUAUGGCACAUCUUUGUGAGAAGUGUUUAACUUUAUAUGAUAAUAUAUUCUGCAACUUUAUAACAUGUCAAUACUUAUCAUAGUCCGACGGACAAACCCAAACAAGAAUGUAAAAAUAUGUCAAAGCUGUAACCUUUUUUGCGGUCGGGUGUCUUGUGGGUGAGACCGUCGGAGAGAUAACCGGCGAAGGAAGAGGAAGAGGAGGAACAUGCGGGUAAGCAAUCCAUGCUAAAGCUUUUCUUCAUUGCGGCAGCCAAAAUUGACGAAGGUGGAGGAGAACUGGGACCUGGUGGUGGUGAAGAGCCUGUGGUGUCUACAUGAACACCAAAGAGCUUAAUGACUCUGGUUUUGUUGGAAAAACAUGUUCUUGAAUUAUGUCCUACGCUUCCACAGUGUGAGCAUUUCCUGCCCAUUGCAAUGAAUAAGCAAGAGGAAAGAGAAAGAAAGAGAUUAUGUUGAUGAUGAGGAGAGAUUUUGGGGUUUAUGUAGAAUGGCGGAGAGCAUAGAGAUAGAAGAUGAUUGGAUAGGCGAAGUUUAUUUAUUGGAGGAUGCAACAACUUAAAUGAUGUAGUCCAAGUUGGUGUAUUUCUAUGUUUAGCCAAUAAAAAUGCGAGUUUACGCUAGAAAAGGGGGAUGGAAAGCUGUCUUUAUCAGUGGGGUUUUGUCAUUAAUAUGGACUAAAAUGUAGAUUAUAAUCUAACUGAAGUGGUCAUAACUGAAGUGGACUAAAAUUUUCCCGUAGUUUUUUUAUUUGAACUUGAUUUUGCUUUGAAUUUAUGUUUUAUAGAAUCUGUGAUUUGAAAAGAGAACGAGGUAUACAUAGCAAUUAACAAGAAGGGAAUACAUAUGAAUUAUAGUUACAAAAAAUAUGUAUCAUAUAAAGGCUUACAUCCUUCAUAAGAAAUGUAGCUUCCUGGUUGAGAGAGGGAAGACAUGGAUCCUCCAAUAGUCUUGGGCUGGUGUGUAGUUGGAUCAUGGAUGACCUAAUAAAAUGUGAAUAAAUAAAAACAAAACUACAUUUAUUUACUAUUUUGUAAACUAGAAAAUGACAAAAGAGCCUUAUUUAUUCGACAAAGACGUAUUAUAUAUUAAUUUUUUUUGUUUGAUGGUAAAUAUAAUUUGGAUCUUAUGUUUUCCAAUAUAUUAGUUGGACGGAAGAGUCAUCCACAUACUAUAUUUUAUUUUACUUAAAAGAUUGCCUGAUUUGUUAAGAUAUGUGUAAUCGAUAACAUUAUUAAUCAAUAGUAGACAACGCACUACUAUCCAACAAGCAAGUAGCUAUUUAUUAUCAAUGGUAGAAUUGGUCCGCAAUAUGGAUUGCUUAGUUCGGAAUGUCGAACUAGUAAUUAGUAUUGGAGGACAAUGAUGACGAUUCAUAUAUAAUAAUGUAUUAAUGUUGAUUCUAUCUUCUUUUGCAUUUAGAAAAAUAUAAUGUUGAUUCCUUUCUUGUCAAAGAUUCAUGUUGAUUCAGCAUUUUGUGAUUGUAAUAUUGGAACAGUUCUUUUAAAACAAGACCGUAAAAGAUAUAUUGUUGCACAUAAUAAUAGUUUUCAAUGAUAUGCUUAUAUGCAAUCACAAAAAUAGAAAUGUCCAUUCAUCAUUGCUUCAAGUUAAUUUGGUUCCAUUUCUACAAAAAAAAAAACAGUUGACAAAAAAAAAUUGAGGAAAACUUUACAAAUCGUCAUGUAUAGCUUUUCACUAUAGUGUAUUAUAUUAUGAGUAAUGUAGUGACAAAAAAAAUCAAUGUUGCAUGGAAAAUUAACAUUUUCACUAUACGAGUAAUGUAGAUUCUGAGCAUUUUAAUGACAAUUUGACAUGGUUCUACACUUAAAAUAAGACUCAUACUGGUGAAAGACAGAAGAUUGUUGACAAAGGAUCUUAUUUAUUAUUGGACGACGAGCCUUAAUUCAGACUUGUGCAAGGGUUGUUCACAUAUUGGUACAUGGAAACAAUUCAGAUUUUUUUUUUUGAUUUUCUUCUUCUUUGUAAGGGAUGUCACUUAUCAGUGAAUUUAUGCACCAUUGUUAAGUUAUACAUGUGGUUAUAUUGAUAAUUUGUAAAGUUUUUCUCAAUUAUUUUUUUGUCAGUUGUUUUUUUUUGUAGAAGUAGAACCAAGUUACUUUGAAACUAUGAUGAAUAGAGAUUGUAUUGAAUAUAGCAAACUCUUAGUUUAUUAACAUUUUCAUUUACUCUCAUGAUUUGCUAAAAAAACUUGUAACAGUAGUUGGUUAAUGAUGUUUUCUAUUUGUAGAGGAUGUAUCUUAGGACCAAUUUGUUAAAAACUUUGAUUGUCUUACUGUAAUUUGUUAAAAACUUUAAUUUUGUAUAAAUAAUUCGCUUAAAUUCCAUAAACUUCAUUCGACUAGUUCAAUGAUUGUUUUUUAUAAUGUCUCUGGUUAAAAAUUCUCCAAAAUCCGCUACUGCUUAUUCGUUUAGUUGCCAGACGAUGCAACAUAAAGAUUUGGAAGAAUGUCGGAAACACACAUUAUGAAGUUGUUGCUUUGAGAUUAAUAUAAUGACUACGGAUGAUAGGUAUUUUCAUAUAAAAACUUGACAUUCAGAUCCAAAAAUGGAUUGUUUGAGCUUGUAUCCUUAGAUAACUUGGUCUAUACUAGUAGAAAGGUGUUACAGUCCACUGAUGAAUAUCAAAUAUUUUUCUUAGUCUAUGCGGAAAAAAAAAAGAAUAUCAUAUUAACAAACAUGAACCGUCUUGUUGUAUUGGAUCCUUGAUUGGGUAAGACUUUUUAUUAAUGAAUGGGUUGCCCAAAAAAGUUUCUUUUGCUUUGAGAUUUCGCAAAAAGAGACCAAUAUUUUUUGAACUUAUAUAAAUCGAUUUCUUACAAAGAAUUAAAUGUAGAUCUCCAAAUCUUAAAUCUGAAAACUAAUUAUGCAAAUAUGAAAUCCCUUUUUUACCUUAGAGAAGUUCCUUAAAAAGACGAUAUCAGAUUGCAUAAAAUGUUCUAUGACUCAUUUUAUUUAAGGUUAUCCACAUCCUGCAUUACAAAGACAGUAAAUUAAGCUAGUUAGCAUAGUAAGGAGCUUUUUUAUUCAGAUAGUUCUAUUAAAAGAGGAAAAUAUAAUUAAAACUGAUAAAAAUUAGAUAUACAUUUUUAUUUUAAAAUUAUAUUAUGAAUCAAAGUGUUGAUGCUCUGUAUUCGCGACCAUAAAUAUUUCAAUCCCUUAUCAAACUUAUGAGUGAACACUCAUACAUGUAUUUUCUUGCAUUUUUAUUUGAAAUUUUUUUUUCAAACUAUAUAUAUAUAUAUCAAACUUGCUAAACUUUAGGACAAACAAAGAACUCUAAGCUAGUGGUUUCAUUAAUAUAGUCGUAAGAUGAUCUUGGUUCAAGUGGGAUAGCCUAAUAUCCAAAAUCUCAACCAAGAAAAGAAAAAUGGCUUUUUCAUAUCUAUUGAUCUUAGUCCUCCAAUCACUUUGUUUCCUUUCCAGUAGUAGUGUCACUAUUAACACAGCUUGCACUUUAAUAUAGAAAUGUUUAAAAUGUGUAUUGUUUUCCCCAACAACUAAAUUAUUUCGAUUCUGAAAAGUACUCUCGGUUCUGUAUUAAAGUGGAUUCCAAAUUAUUCUAUGUAGAAGAUAUAGCUCGGCAACUAAGAAUUUAUGUAUGCAUUGUUACAACUCUACUGUAUUCGAUUAAGUUGACAAAAGAAAAAAAGGUUUGCUGAAUCGCUUUUGGGCACGCAAGGCAAAAAUCUCUGGUUAAAAACUUUAUCAUUGAAAAAAAAAAACUUUAUCAUUGCUUAUAGAAAUAAAUGUGGACGCAAGGCAAAAAUCUCACAAUGAUAAAGAAAUAUUCACCAAAACUAAGAUGGACCAGAAUCAAAUUAGAUAAGAUCGAUGGUUGAUAUAUGUAAGCAUUUUAGUUAUUCUAAUUACACCCAUUAUUUAACGAGUUAUAUGUAUUUCACGUAACGCUUAUAGGUCUAAUAUUCGAUUUGGAAGACUGAUGAGACGCAAGCUUCAGAUCAAGAUCGAGUUCACCGGUGUUACCGGACACGGAUAUUUCAGGAUCUGGAUGUCCGAGACAAGGAUCAGUCAAUCCUUGUUUCCAAACAGCCUCUGUGGGCG